GAUGAACGCUGGCGGCGUGCCUAAUACAUGCAAGUCGAGCGAAUGGAUUAAGAGCUUGCUCUUAUGAAGUUAGCGGCGGACGGGUGAGUAACACGUGGGUAACCUGCCCAUAAGACUGGGAUAACUCCGGGAAACCGGGGCUAAUACCGGAUAACAUUUUGAACCGCAUGGUUCGAAAUUGAAAGGCGGCUUCGGCUGUCACUUAUGGAUGGACCCGCGUCGCAUUAGCUAGUUGGUGAGGUAACGGCUCACCAAGGCAACGAUGCGUAGCCGACCUGAGAGGGUGAUCGGCCACGCUGGGACUGAGACACGGCCCAGACUCCUACGGGAGGCAGCAGUAGGGAAUCUUCCGCAAUGGACGAAAGUCUGACGGAGCAACGCCGCGUGAGUGAUGAAGGCUUUCGGGUCGUAAAACUCUGUUGUUAGGGAAGAACAAGUGCUAGUUGAAUAAGCUGGCACCUUGACGGUACCUAACCAGAAAGCCACGGCUAACUACGUG
rnacentral:rRNA from 1 species